CCAAACUUGGUCAUUUAGAGGAAGUAAAAGUCGUAACAAGGUUUCCGUAGGUGAACCUGCGGAAGGAUCAUUAUUGAAAUUUUUUUAAAAAAAAUAUGAUCAAGUUGUUGCUGGUUUUUAAAUUAAAAAGCAUGUGCACACUUUGGUCUAUUUUUUUGUUUAAUACUCUCUCUUGUGCACUUUGUGUAGAUUUAAAACAAGUUAAUCGAGAUGGCUCGGUCAGAGAUCUGCUGUAUGAAAGCCAGCUUUUCUUGUAAUUUUUGAAUCUACAAUUUUUAUACACUCAUUUUGUGUCUAGAAUGUAGAUUCCAGAGGCCUAGCUUUCUAGUUAGUGCCUUGUUAAACAAAAUAAAAUAAAAUACAACUUUCAACAACGGAUCUCUUGGCUCUCGCAUCGAUGAAGAACGCAGC
rnacentral:misc_RNA from 1 species